rnacentral:lncRNA from 1 species
UUCAUCUGGAUGAAUAGUUUUAGCUCCAAAAGCUGUUAGAGAUAUGAACCAAAUGACAGUUAAUGAAAAGAACAGAAACUGAGAGGAAGUGUUCAUCUUAGUAUUAACAAGGAACAGAUAAGUUCAUAAAUUUCAGAGACUUUAAAGUAUUAAUCUAAGAUGAGAGUGCAUGCAUAUAAUUAUAUUAAUGUGCCAACUUUUAAGUUUAUUUUUAUCAUAUAGAGUACUAG